CUGAAUGGCUGAACAAUUUUUCUCAUAAUAAUAAUUAUGGAAGAGAAAUGACAUUGAUAAUUUUGAAAUAUCAUGGUUGAAGACAAGGAUUGGGAAGAUAUUUGUACCAUUCAGAAUAUAUGCAUGCUGUAUUGGUCCAUUCUCACACUGCUAUAAAGAUGGAGUCUCGCUCUGACGCCCAGGCUGGAGGCAAUGGGACGAUCUCAGAUCACUGCAAACUCCCCCUCCCGAGUUCAAGCAAUUCUCUGUCUCAGCCUCCCAAGUAGCUGGGAUUACAGGCGCCCGCCACUACGCCCGGCUAAUUUUUUUGUAUUUUUAGUAGAGACGGGGUUUCACCAUCUUGGCCAGGCUGGUCUUAAACUCAUGAUCUCCUGAUCCACCUGCCUUGGCCUCCCAAAGUGCUGGGAUUACAGGCAUGAGCCACCGCGCCAGCCAACUACUUUUGAAGUCAGGCUUACGAAGAUAUAAUUUACAUUCAUUAAAACUCAUCCUUUUUAGUGUAGACAUCUGUGAGUUUGGACAAAGUCAUAUCAUUGUGUAACUAUCACGACAUUAAUGAUAUAAAACAAUUUAUAACCAAAAUUUCCCUCAUUUUCUGCUUUAGUCAGCCUCUUCCACACUCCCUGCCAAUGACACUUAACUUAUUUUCUGUCCCUGUAGUUCUGUCUUUUCCAGAAUAUCAUAUACAUAAAAUUAUUUGUCAUUUAAAUGAAUUAAAAGUAUGUAGCCUUUUGAUUAUGUGUUCUACUUACUGUAAUAAAUUUGAGAUUCAUCAACA
rnacentral:lncRNA from 1 species